rnacentral:RNase_P_RNA from 1 species
UAUUAAAUCGACAGUCGCUGGCUACUUAGAUAGUUAGAGGAAAGUCCAUGCUCGCACAAUCUGUGAUGAUUGUAGUGUUUGUGCUAGAUGAAUAAAUAAGUCUAGGCAAGUUUUUACUUGACGGCUGUUUUGUUUGCUAAGGGAAACUAUGUAAACAAACUUUAAAAGUGCCACAGAGACGAAUCUAUAUGGAAACGUAUAGGGUGGAACGGGUAAACCCCACAAGCGAGAAACCCAAAUUUGGUAGGGGAACCGGCUGGAAUGAAACGAAAGGAAAGCUGGAUAGCAUUGCUAUAGAUAAAUGACUGUCACCACGCAAGUGGAACAGAACAUGGCUUAUGAUUUAA